rnacentral:rRNA from 1 species
GACGAACGCUGGCGGCGUGCUUAACACAUGCAAGUCGAACGGAAAGGCCCUGCUUUUGUGGGGUGCUCGAGUGGCGAACGGGUGAGUAACACGUGAGUAACCUGCCCUUGACUUUGGGAUAACUUCAGGAAACUGGGGCUAAUACCGGAUAGGAGCUCCUGCUGCAUGGUGGGGGUUGGAAAGUUUCGGCGGUUGGGGAUGGACUCGCGGCUUAUCAGCUUGUUGGUGGGGUAGUGGCUUACCAAGGCUUUGACGGGUAGCCGGCCUGAGAGGGUGACCGGCCACAUUGGGACUGAGGUACGGCCCAGACUCCUACGGGAGGCAGCAGUGGAGAAUAUUGCACAAUGGGCGGAAGCCUGAUGCAGCAACGCCGCGUGCGGGAUGACGGCCUUCGGGUUGUAAACCGCUUUCGCCUGUGACGAAGCGUGAGUGACGGUAAUGGGUAAAGAAGCACCGGCUAACUACGUG